AGCAGAUUAGUAUGAAGCAAACCAUCAAACUGCAUCACGGUCUCUUCAAACUAGCUUUUCAUCCACAGCUGAAGUGCUGGAAAACAGUGAUGUUAGUCUGUGAGGCCAAGUCCAGGUGUGCAGGACAUAUUGCCAAAUCCCCAAAGGGUAACUUCAAGGGUUGCAUGCGUUUUUCCACAGUUAAAAGUAAAGAUUGAUCAUCUCAUAGCAUCGUUGUCACUAGAAAUAAGCACUUUUCGAUUUCUCUGGGCAGCGAGACAUUGCAGCAAAGCCAGCUUUACUGUCCUCCAAAGUGCGUUAUUCAGCCAGCUGUUGCCCACAUAUUUUUAUAAAUGCACUCGCCGUGUACUUGCACAUGAAGAAAGGAUGUUCAUUCAAAAGUGGUAUAUUACGGACGAUGAUUCAUUAUAUACCUAUUGUACCAUUUAUAAGGGACUGUAAAAGAAUGCGUUGGACAGACAACCGGUGAACAGUCAGAGCAACAGAAUGGUUACCAAGGGGCUGGAAACGCAGUUGAGGAAAGCAAAGAGUUAGAUGGAAUGGCGAAAUUGAGAAUUUCACAGGGAUAAAAUGGAAUCGGCUUGCACAGGAUAGGAUGAACUGGCAAUCACUGGGAGAGACUUUCGUCCUGCAGUCGACUAAAACAGGCUGAGAAUGAUGAUGAUGGUGAGGACACUGCUCAGAGCAUAGUAUAAUAGAUUGGGCCAAUGGUCAGAGGAGUGAGUUAGGUAGCCUCGGGAAUUAUAUCAAAGCUCAGAGCAAAAAUUGAGAAAGCUCAAACAAAGAAGCUCAAGAAAUAGCGCGGUGCCUCCUUUUAAUGGUGUCUCUCUCGUUUUUAACUAUUUCUCGAAUGCAGGUGCGAUGCAUGUAAACAAGAUUUCCUUGUUCAGCAUGUUUUUCUUUUUCUCUUUUUGCACUUUUCAUCAUGGAGUGUUGCCUUUUAUCAAACAUCUCAGUGUAAAUUACUUGCAAGUUCUUUAUUGAAAACUGUCACGAUAGCGAGCUGAGUUUCAAGUUGAAAGGAAAGUCCAUCCCCGGUUCAAUGCUCUGGCAUCUCAUGAUAUUCGAGGUGACAUGCUUCUCGGCCACAUGUAGUGUGUAUGCUUGGAGACCUACCAUUGGAUGAUCACAUCUGACAUAGGUUUCUUUAUGAUAGUUAAUAACUCUUUAUGAUAUAUACACUGUAUAUAUAUUUUUCUAAAUGCUCUUUUUUUUUUUUCCUGGCAUUGUGUCUCAUGUCAUGGUUCUCAAGCCUACGGCUAUGCAAACUGUUCACAUUUGAUUGAGGCAUCUUGUGUAAAAAACCGGAUGACAUUGUGCACGAUUCACAAACACUAGAACAGUCAUACAUUUGAGGCUUUGAGGCCACUGGUACAUUGAGUGGCCGAUUAAAAACACUGGUGUUGCUGGAGUGGGAAAUAAAAAUUGUGCUAAUGAUGUACUGCUUCAAAUACUGUCGAAGCCAGAAGUUUAGACCAGCGUCAACUGGCAAUGUACGUGACAAAGGACAAAAAAAAUAGACAGGUUUUAUUUUAGUCCCUGCAAACAACGCAGCUGCACAAAGAUUAGCCAAGCUUGUCAGGCAUGCACAUGGAGAAGGUGGUCGUUAAAGGCCCCUUUGAGAACUCUGGAAGCAUGGCGGCCAGAUUAACUUCCAACAUGCAGAGUAAAAGAACACGAAUCCGAGACAGCAGGAGUUGUUUGUUUGGCAUUGUGCAGUAGAACCUCGUUGGUACGGUUCUGUCUUCUGCAAUUUCCCGGUGCCAACGUUCUCGAUCGGGAACACAAAAAGUGACGUUAUGUCCAGAAGUACAGCUUUUGGGGCUAGUUGGUUAGAUCAGUUUGAAGGGGUCAUAAUGGACAAGGAAGACCGAUGAAAGAAGCGCUAGCUUUCAGCUGAUUGUUUAUUUUCGAAAAGCGCGAUAAUUAUGAUCCCAUCAUCACACAUGAAAAGGAGCAGCAUCCAGAUAAGUCAUUUUGCGUCACUUUGGGCAACAGAAGGGCAGCUGAUGCAGAUAUCACCUGGCCCAGCCCUCAGAGCUGAAGCAAUGAACUAUAACGAACACUGUUGAGUGCAGUGCAGGCCCGCAUGACCACACCAUGUACUGAAUGCAUGCAAUUUGGGCAAGCCGAGAAAAUAGUGGUUUCAUUGCGUGCCCUGCGUUAUACGUUUUUUACGUCGUCUGCCUGUAGACGCUGUGUAGUUUAAAUAUUGAAGCAAGUGACAGCAUGUGCACUUUCUGCUCCUGGCACUGCCAACAUCGUGGCAGUCAUCGAGUGAACCGUUAUGUUUUUCACAUUACAACACGCUUUAGUGUGCAAGCUGACGUUUACUGCACCUUACACUGUCAGUAACACCAUGAGUCUAAAUCUUCGUGCAGUAGUAAAAUUCAUUGAUAUCUCAAGUGGAGUUCUAUCAAAGCUUCGCUUUUUAGCCGGUACUGCACGAUCUUUUAGUGACCGUGGAUUGUACAUUUUCCCGGAUAGUGCAAUUCUUGUCGCAUUUUUUUUUUUCAAGAACGUAUGAACGAGGUUCUGCUGUAUAAGGCUAAUUUAUUGCUACAGUCAAAAUUGUUUUUUCUCCUAGAUGUUCCUCCAAGUUGAGUGUGCAGAAGAGUGGCGCAUCUUUAUAGUGCCUGUAACCGAACACGGAGUUUUAUCCAAGGGCACAGGCUUUCUGAUGCCAAUGUUUCAACGUGUAUAGGGGGACGGGUGAUUUUGUACAUACCUACUCGUCCCUGUGUUGGAAGGCAGCUGCUCGUGCAUGUCGCUCACACUUUUGAAGGGAAGCUCCCUCGCCUACUCUUGCAUUGUUCGACAUAGAUGAGUGUGUCUUGCCAAGUGGUGACUAAAAGAAUGUUAAGCACGUCCCGACUGAAGAAGGGAGGGAAGUCGAAGGGCGCCCACCUUGCCUCUAAUCACGGAAAUGAAGAUCAAGUGCACGCUAGUUUGCUCUGAUAAAACCCAGUAGGAUUGCAGUGCCAGCCGUAUUGUCAUUGCGCAUCGCAAUUCGUGCUCCCGUUUGCACCACAUCCAACUGGAUGCAUGUGUGUGUAUGCUUGUGUAUUUGUGUGUGUAGAGUCAUGAGUAGCAUGAUGGAACACUGAAUUCGUGUUUAACCAAUGAUUACUUGUAAUGUACUGACAUGAAUGUGACGUACUGAAUCGCAAGAGAUACCUUUCCGCUGGAGCAUUUAGUGUUAUGGACACUUUUGUGCUUGCCAGCUGUGUUUCUUCUUAUAUUACUCACAACUGUACAUGGUAUACAGACUGUGCUUGAGGGCUGCAAAGGACAGUACCUCCACUCUUCAAGACAAGUGUGUGUACAAAAUAAGGCAUUACUUUUCGGUCUAAAGGUGUGCAAUGUUCCUCAUGGCGAGGUGCUGCGUUUGGACCCUUGCAGCACGCGCUAUGUGGCCACGCAAGUGACCUUGCAUGAUCUUGGUGAAAGUGCACUCACGAGCAAUCGCAUAGUAACCUGUAGCACAGGCAUAAAUGCAGGCAUGAAUAUGCAAGAACUUACAAACUCAUACAUCGGCAAACAUAUGCGCGUGCGUUUCCAACAAGAUCUGUGUCAUUUAGAUUCCAGCGCUUUCUUAUAUAUUUGUUAAUGUCCUUGUUGGUUCAGUGGCUGAUGUUCAUGGUUUUGGUUUGCCACUUGGUGGAGAGUUUGCCGCAGGAUUUGCAUUUCUGCAGUGUGUAAUUUGGUGAGUGGCGUCUUGUGCCAUGCUCCCAGCGUUGCUUAGCUGCAUGAAUUACGUCCAUGCCUGCACCAUUGUCUAUACCAAGAAAGGCAAAGUGCAGCUCUAGUGCAUAGGUGCUUAAUUUCAAAGAGCAAUACAAUUGUUGUUUCUUCGUUUGUAGUGUAACACAGUGACUAUAACUUGUUUUCAUAAUGGGCAAAUCAAUGAAGCGUCACGCUCGUGUGUAAUUUUGAUUGCAAUGCGAUUUUGUGCACAGCCCUAAGUAAUGUGGAGUAGUAGUACACCUGGGAAUGUAGCGAUUCAAAUGUACCCAGACUUUUCUUCAGUAGCGUAGCAUCGUUUUUCAUGUUUUCUGUGAGGUUCUACAAACUAUUGUUUGGGUCCUUUGCCAUUAAUAUCGGGGAUAACAUAAAGUACAACAGACUCCUCGUGAGAAAAAGAUUUAAAGGGGCCCUGCAACACUUUUUUGAACAUGAUCAUAAAAUGCUACGGAUUGGUAGUCGAAGGUCCUGCAAACAUGCGAGCCAAACAUUAUAGUGCAGCACAAGGCAGGGAAUUUACAAUUUCCAAGUCAGCUAGAAAUUGCUCGCUCUUCUCUCAACAAAUGAUGCCAUAUACUCUCAAAAUCAAGUGCAUCACGUACCCGAGAGACAUGAACAUUGGCUGAUUUGAAGAUUGUGAGCUGCAUAGAUACCUCGGCUGCUGCGGUGUGCCGCUGCAUGCCCUCGCCGUGGCACGUCACGACGCGGAGAAGUGAGCCGCACGUAAUGUCUAUACGUUGGCUGCGCGUCCUUUCAAAGAAAACAAGAAAUUGCUCAAGGUCGUGAAACGCGCUGACGUGCGGAUGUAGCUUCUUGCCCCCAGUUUUUUAAAGUGUUUUAGAGCGUCCGACAAAUCCUUGUAACUCCGCUUGUACUUAACGGAUUCUAAAAUUUUUUGCGGCCGUCGAUUCGUGACGUAAUAAACUCUGAUAGCGAGGUCAUUUGAUGAUUACUUGGAAACGUUUUGCAGGGCACCUUUAAGAAGCCAUGGAAAUCUGUUUCCAAUGUCAGAAGUUUGGGUUAACAGAGAUGCACUUGGCAUGUGCUGAACGUAUGUCUGUGAACUGCUCAACUUAUCAGGCAGUUCAGUUUUAACAGGGUUUGCUCUAAAGAGAGUUCGCUUAAGUGCUGACUACAGGGUCGCUUUGUACUGCAUUCUUGUGUGUUCCUGUGAUCUAACGAAAACCGGUACGUUAUACGUGGCCUUCUUUUUUUUUUGUUAUUCCUGUCAUAUUUGUACUUUUUUCCCGGGCCACUUGACCUUGUAGCUUCUGUGGUACGAUCCAGUAUGUUUUCCGUGUACAAGCCUAACUAAACUAGAGUGCUAUCGAAAAAGUGUAGGUUUUUGUUUGUUGGGAUGAAAGAAAUUUGCUGCAGGAUAGUGCAAGGUAAUUGAUUUUUGAUAGCUGUUUGAAAUCCUGCCCGGUGCAUUGAGGGUAUGACGGAGGUUGUCUUGCCAUGACAACUCACCAUGACAAAUUAUUACUACAGCUCUUUUAAUGUCUGCAUCCAUGAUAUGACAAAGGUAAAACAAACAACAGUGUUUGCCGUGUUGUCUUGUUUGCCUGAGUGAUGUAAUGAACAGUGGCAUUACCAUAUGUUGUUGCCAGUUGGAUGGAGCAGAAAGUUCAUAACAAGCCGUUUGUAUUGGAAGAAAAGUGUUUCUUUCGUGGUGAACUUAUUUCACUAAGCUGGAUAUUUGACAAAGAAAGAGCUUUUUUAAUGUGGUCAGGGUUUGAUUUGUAAUUGCAGACAUGACGAGGUCACUUGAAAUCUGUGCACUAAUAUGUCAGUAAGGAAAUACCAAUCCGAGUCCGGUUGCAAUAGCAUUUCUGGAAGAUAUAAUUUGUGUGCCACAAUUUUUAAGUGCUUGAAGCUCCACAUUCUUCUACUGCGGUGGCUCUUGAGCAGAAGCCUUUUUCAACAUCUCACGUUCAGCAUUAAUUAUAAGUUUCAAGGAAGGCUGGAACUGUGGCCAUCACUGCGGCCAUUUCCCAAAUUGAUGACUUUAUAGCAUAUGUUCCACAGCAAGAACUUCUAAAUGAACACCAGUGGGAUGGCUUUCUGCGCUCACAUCCUGUCCGACUCAUUUCAUUGUGAAUGAGUGUCAGAGGAGAAAUGGUUCAAAUGUAGCCACAAUUAGAGCGAGUACUCUACAGAAGGUGUAUUUUCAAAAGUAGAGAGUGUGGCAUUUUUUUGUCAUGUGCUGUUUUUUCCAUCAGUUUGACAAUGCUGGCUGAAGCAAUUUAGGGGCUGCAUUGAUGUCAUAUAUUCAUGUAAAAGCUAACGGUAUCUUUAACAUGACAGGCAGAAGAAAGUUGGCUGGUCAGAUGAGAAGGGACAGCAGUUGUGUUCAUUUUGCCAUUUUCCUUUUGUCCGUUGUGUUCAAAAUGCAAUUGUUUCUUUACUUAUAUAAUCACUAGUCCUGCUAUACCAAUCAUGUUAUCUUUUGUCAUGGAUAUUGAGACAUGCAGUCAGCUUGCAAUAAUUCAAAAUUUCGGAGACAGUACGCUUUUCUUUCAGCUACACUUAGAAUUAUUGUUUAAGGAGAUCGACUGGCAACUGCUGGGUGUAAUGGUGUCAAACGAGAAAUAACUGUAUACCCUGUGAGCGCAGGACGUUCAGACUGCAAACGCACGACCAUGGCAGCAGUAUGCAGAAAUUUACAGCUGCUUGAUUGUGAGGCAAGGUCAGAGUGGUGCUGUUUAUGCCUAACAAGUAAAUGUCCCAUGGCCAGCCAUUUCCUUUUCUACAUUGCUUUGUGCAUGAGCAGACCAAGAGUUCCUACUGACCAACAGCCUCAUAAAAAUUAAUGUGAUUGCAAAAUGCACGCAAAAGAUUGUAGGUGAACACAAGAGGUACAAGGAGACUAGAAAGGCUUUCAGCAGGUACAAAUCGUGAGUAGUGAACAGCUGCCAAUAUUGUACAAUGUUGUUCUGUUACUUUAUUUAUGACUGCCAUGUGCACUGUGAAAGCAGGCCUCGAGGGCUAUGCUGCAUCUCUUUACAGUUAAGAAAAUAUUGAAGUGGCUUUUGUUAAUAUAGUGUGCUUGUAAGGCUGAAGAGCUUGUUGUUUCACAUGCAGAAAUCGGAUGUGCUAGGGACACCAAGUGCACUGAGGGCAGUGGUUUGUGGGAAAAGAUUUGGGAGGAUUUGUUCAGGUUAGCUGGCAUGGUGAAUUAUCAAUGUUCGACUUAUUGCAGGUUGACCAUAGUUGAAGCAUACCUACUCCAUGCUGUGUCUAGUUUAUGUGGCAAGCUUUCAUCCCAACUCCAUUACCCCUCCAUCUUGUUUGUUCGUGCAUUAAACAGACUUCGGCAUGACUAUAUUUGCAUCAAACCUUGGAGUGCGCUAGUUUUUGUUUAAAAGUUAUUCUAAGUGAAGUACAAAAAAAAAAUGAAAAAAGAAAAACCUUACAAACUCUUGUUGCUCGUUAGUGCUAAGUGUGUCAGCCAUCACACAUCAGAAGUAUGUUAUUUUCGUUACUUCACUUACUACAGACGUGUGCAGACGUGUGUUUAUGUGCCUGUACACUUUUUCUUCCAUAAAAAAAAAGAAAUGUACAUAGUAGGGAGAGUCAUUUGUGGAAGUCAUCUAUGGCAUUUUUUUCUAAUUAACUAGUGCUACUCAUUGUCAAGAGGCUGCUACCAACUUUUGUUAUAAAUACGAAGUAUUUUUGCAGGCUAGUUACAUAAAAGUCAUGCGUUUCCUUUCUUUAUUUUUAAUUUUGUGUGCGUAAUUGUUUUGUGUGUUAUUGCAUGUUGAUGUUAUGCAUUGUUACAUGUGUGGAAAGAACCUAUGUAUAUAUUUUUUCUUAUUCUCUUUGUGGAACAGAGCUGCUGUUUGCAACAGAUCUGGGCAUGCUAGGCUUGCAAAAAGGGGGCUUUAUUUGUGCGCCUGUCAUAGCAGUCCUAAAAAAAUUGCUUCAACAUGAAUUGGAGAACAUGGUGGAACAUCAGCAUGUAGAACAGAGAACAGCCUAAGUUAUCAAGACACUUUUGCAUAGGCAACUUUGCCAAAAGAACAGAAAUAAAGUACUAACUCCCAGUGUCUAAUAAGGAAACGCAGUUGCGUCAGUAGCCAUUCAUUCGCUGAAUGUAUGUACAACUCGUGUGGGCCAUCGGCAUAGCUGCACGUUGCUCGUCUCGUCUCGCUGUAUCGCCUGUGAAGUUUGUUUGCAUCAAGUUUGUCCUUUAUCUGAUUGUGCUCAUAAGACGUAACAUAACAAAAAAUUUGAUAAUGUAUUGAUGUGUUUUGAGGACAGGCUGGCGUUGCGGAAGCUUAAGGCUGAGAAUGAUGACUUCACCUGCAGUAUGGUGAUCAGGUGGAAGCACUCCCAGGGAAAAUUUUUUCCUUUUUUUUCCCUUUUUUUCCCCCUUUUUUUUUAGUGCAGUGCAAGAAUUGUGCUGGCACGAAAUGUACAUUUAAAGGAAAUGCUAUUGUGAUGGAGACUGGUGGAUCAUAGAAACUGAAUUACAUAUGAAAACGAAUUACGUUUGUCAUCACUUGCCCGUAUUUCCAUAUUGCCAUACUUCCAAAACUUCCAUUAAUGAUAAUUUAAUAAUAUCAAAGAAUACCUAGAUCUUUUUAUCGGUGACCUCAGUAAGCAGUGUCGGGGCUCGGGCUACCUACCUUCAAGCUGACAAAAGGUAGUGAUCUUGUGAAUGAAACAAGAUUAAGAAUGCUUUUCAUGUUGGCUCACAAGUGCAUUACAAUCUGUUGUUUAUCUGUAAGGUGCGCAAAAUUCAUCCAAGUUUUAAAAAGCCAAUUUUUUUUAGAACACGCGCACUGCCAUGAUAGGCGCACAGAUUUGGUCAAAGCUCUGUAGUUGACAAGUCUAGCCGCUACCUCUUGUGGGAGUAUACUUUAAAAAAAAAUGUUUUGACGCUGCGGCCUUUUCCGCGAAACAACUCCAUUAGAAUUGUUGCGGAAGUCAUUGUUGGUUUUGCACAGGUUUGUUGACUCUGUGCAAUAUUGUUAAUUACGGCUGGUGAUUGCUGGUGCCCAGCAUUGUUGAGGCAUGUUCCUUGGUGUUAUUGAACUUACUGUGUGCUUUUUACUGUUGUUUGCUUUGUUUGAUUGUUUUCACCGAUCUCUGCAUUAAGGCACACCUGAAAAGAUAACAUAAACAGGUGUGUCGUGUCGAGCAUUGGGAAAAUGCGUGCUGUUUCAUAAUAGUAUUCAUUACAACUAAUCACAUUUUCACCAAUUCCGUUCACCUUUGUAAGUUCAAAACAUGUAGUUUCUUCGUUGGUGUUUCGGUUGAACCAUUGCAGUGGUUUGACAUACCUGAUUCUUUUCUGUGUUCUUUGCAUCAAGACUGUUUGGAUUGCUGUUCCAGUUUGCAGAAUACUGUAUCUGCUUUUUAUGUGUGACGGCUCCUUAAAAAGAAUGGCAAUAAAGAAUGAUAGUGUUCACAA